GAUGAACGCUGGCGGCGUGCCUAAUACAUGCAAGUCGAGCGAACAGACGAGGAGCUUGCUCCUUUGACGUUAGCGGCGGACGGGUGAGUAACACGUGGGUAACCUACCUAUAAGACUGGGAUAACUUCGGGAAACCGGAGCUAAUACCGGAUAAUAUUUCGAACCGCAUGGUUCGAUAGUGAAAGAUGGCUCUGCUAUCACUUAUAGAUGGACCUGCGCCGUAUUAGCUAGUUGGUAAGGUAACGGCUUACCAAGGCAACGAUACGUAGCCGACCUGAGAGGGUGAUCGGACACACUGGAACUGAGACACGGUCCAGACUCCUACGGGAGGCAGCAGUAGGGAAUCUUCCGCAAUGGGCGAAAGCCUGACGGAGCAACGCCGCGUGAGUGAUGAAGGUCUUCGGAUCGUAAAACUCUGUUAUUAGGGAAGAACAAACGUGUAAGUAACUGUGCACGUCUUGACGGUACCUAAUCAGAAAGCCACGGCUAACUACGUG
rnacentral:rRNA from 1 species